rnacentral:rRNA from 1 species
UACAGAGGGUGCAAGCGUUGUUCGGAAUUAUUGGGCGUAAAGCGCGUGUAGGCGGCUUUGCAAGUCGGGUGUGAAAGCCCUCAGCUCAACUGAGGAAGUGCGCCCGAAACUGCAGAGCUUGAGUGCCGGAGAGGGUGGCGGAAUUCCCCAAGUAGAGGUGAAAUUCGUAGAUAUGGGGAGGAACACCGGGUGGCGAAGGCGGCCACCUGGACGGUAACUGACGCUGAGACGCGAAAGCGUGGGUAGCAAACAGG